UGGGACAUUCAGAAGCCAAGUUAUAAGCCCACAAAUGUGUAACUGGACUACUUCUUUAAAGUGCAUGUCAAGUGUGCCUCAGAGUCUUACCCCACCCACGUAUCAAUUUUGAAAACUGCAACAUUAGUAGGCGUUGCCUGGAGGACCGAGAGGGCGGAGCCGUGGCAGUGACGAAGAGACGGCUAACUAGACGAAGCUAGCUCCCUUCACUCUGAGCAGUCAUUAGAAGUGGAGGACGUUUCUCCCCCUCCUUACCCAGACACUCGAGAAGAAAGGGACCAAGUCUAUUUGGAGGAGACAAGCGGACAUGAGCCUUAUUGUUUUGAGCUUGUGAGUUGCCUGAAAUUACUGGAACCGACCCAACAGACCCAUCUCUGAACGUGAUCCUCUGGUGUCUGCAGCUGGUCUCCUGCUGAUGUCGUCGGGAUCAGGAGCUUCCAGAAGAAUGUGCCUUUCAAUGACUCUUUCCCCCUUAUUUGUUAUAUUAAUUAAAUAAAUCUCAAUUUA